GAAAAAAUUCCAUCCAGCCCCGGGGAGGAGGGAGCGGGGCGGGGAGGCCGGGCCGGGGAGCGUGACGCAGGGAGGAGGGAAGGGACAAAAGGGGCCGGGAGGCGGUAGGGUGAGCCGGCAGCGCUCCCGCUCCUCCCUCCCUCCUCCCUCGGCCGGGGCCAGUUCUCUACUCUCCGCUUUCUUUCGUACCCUCCACCUCUCCUCCCUUUCCUUCACUCUGCCGGCCUCCUCCUGGCCCUGUGCUCCCCCCACCCCACCCCCCGCCCCCGUGUCUCCGUCUCCGCGUCUCUCUUUCUCCUUACAUCACGCCCACCCCCUCCACCCCAAUCAGGGUCUUCUCCUCUCCUCGCUCUGUCUCCCCCUUUCUGCUCUCCCAGCCUCCUUCCCCUCCCUCCGCUUCGGUCCCUCCACCCGCCCACCCACUGGGGGACAGAAAGGUGAAUCAGACCCAGAUCUGCCCUUGCAGACCGAGCUCACAGUCUGAUGGAGGAGACAGACCCAGACGCAGACAGUUCCAAUCCUGGGCGAUCGGGCCAUACAGCAUGACACACAGAAGCUUACUCCCUGACCAGAGAUUGAACCCGAGCCCCCCAGCACGGAAGCUCAGAGUUCUAACCACUGGACCACCAGUAAAUUCCCUUGUCACUAAGUCCGGUCUGACUCUUUGCAACCCCAUGGAUGGUAGCCCACCAGGCCUCCUCUGUCCGUGGGAUUUCCAGGCAAGAAUGCCUUGCCCAGGCAAGAAUGCUGGAGUGGGCUGCAUCAUUGCUUAUAUCUAAAAAGCAUAUGUCAACCCUGAAUAUUCAUUGGAAGGACUGAUGCUGAAGCUCCAAUACUUUGGCGACCUGAUGCGAAGAGCCGAAUCACCGGAAAAGACCCUCAUGCUGAGAAAGAUUGAGGGCAGGACAGGGGGGCAACAGAGGAUGAGAUGGUUGGAUGGCCUCACCGACUCAAUGGACAUGAGUUUGAGCAAACUAAGGCACAGGAGAACCUGGCUUGCUGCAGUCCAUGGGGUCACAGAGUCGGACACGACUUAGUGACUGAACAACAGCAACAAAGGGACUUCCCUGGUGUCCAGGGGUUAAGACCCUGCCUUGCAAUUCAGGGAACUCGAGUUCUAUCCCUGAUCGGGGAACUUCAAUCCCUGGCUGAAGAGUUAAGAUCCCACAUGCUGCAGGGCAACUAAGUCCGCAUGCCACAAGGAAAAUUCCUGCAUUACCCAACUGUCGCAACUGACGCGGCCAAAUAAAUAAAUAAAUGUUAAGAAAAUCCUGUAUGUAAACUCAAUACAAUUUAUGAUCUAGAUUUUUUUUUUUUUUUUGGUGAAUAGCCCUGGAUUCACUGUACUUAUGUAGCAUGGGCUUUCAGUUAUACUAAAUAGUGAAAUACUGAAUACUUCCACCUGAGGUCAAGGAAAAGACAAGGAUAUCCUUCCCAACCACUUUGAC
ensembl:lncRNA